CCUACGGGCGGCUGCAGUGGGGAAUAUUGCACAAUGGGGGAAACCCUGAAGCAGCAACGCCGCGUGAGUGAAGAAGGAUCUCGGGAGGUAAAGCUCUAUCAGCAGGGAAGAAAAUGACGGUACCUGACUAAGAAGCCACGGCUAACUAAGUGCCAGCAGCCGCGGGAAUACGUAGGGGGCAAGCGUUAUCCGGAUUGACUGGGUUUCACGGGAGCGUAGACGGUGUGGCAAGUCUGAAGUGAACGCCCGGGGCUCAACCCCGGGACUGCUUUGGAUACUGUCAUGCUGGUGUGCGGGAGAGGUCAGCUCAUUUCCUAGUGUAGCGGUGAAAUGCGUAGAUAUUAGGAGGAACACCAGUGGCGAACGCGGCUUACUGUACCGUACCUCACGUUGCGGCUCGAACGCGUG
rnacentral:rRNA from 1 species